AGGGUCGGAUUUGAAAUAAAACCAAAAUUGUACGAGUACUAAUGGCGCUAUGUUUACUAUUGUGCCUGUACUUUUUAUGUACGACAUCGCUGGGUUUUACAGCCCGGUUAGAUUGUGUGUGUGGCUUUUGUGAUGGUCGAAAUAUGUACAUGUCGACUUGAAUGCUAAUUUGAAAAAUAAGUGGUGCUGCUAUAGCGAGAUUGCUUUGCGGUAGAUAAUUUGCAGUAAUACAAAAAUCAUACAGUAAGAUGUUAUGCAUCUGUGCGUAAUAAUAAACUCAAUCUAUACGACCUC
rnacentral:misc_RNA from 1 species